GCUUUUUUAGUUUAUAAAAAAUAUUAUUUUGUGGAAAUAAAGAAGAUAAAUUCAAAUGGCA
rnacentral:tRNA from 1 species